UCAAUACCUUGUUCUAUAUUGAGAUGUGUAAGAUGAAUAAAGACAUUCUACAUAUGCCAAGGAAGGAAUUUCUUGCAAAGGGUGGAAGCAUCAAUGAGGUUGCCUUGCAGGAAGCAUCUCAGUACGUUGAUAGCCUGUCACAACACAUCACCAAACCACUGCAGGCCAGCAUCUCGGCAUCAAAGACACGCGCCGACGAAAUUGACUGUGACAUGUUGCCACCUCCUACGAAAAAGG